rnacentral:rRNA from 1 species
GACGAACGCUGGCGGCGUGCCUAAUACAUGCAAGUAGAACGCUGAAGGAGGAGCUUGCUCUUCUUGAUGAUUUGCGCACGGGUGAGUAACGCGUAUGUAACCUGCCUGUUAGCGGGUGAUAACUAUUGGAAACGAUAGCUAAUACCGCAUAAGAGUAUAUGUUGCAUGACAUUUACUUAAAAGGUGCAAUUUCAUCACUACCAGAUGGACCUGCGUUGUAUUAGCUAGUUGGUGGGGUAACGGCUUACCACGGCGACGAUACAUAGCCGACCUGAUAGGGGGAUCGGCCAAACUGGGAAUGAGAAAAGGGCCAGACUCCUAAGGGAAGCAGCAGUAGGGAAUCUUCGGCAAUAGACGGAAGGCUGAACGAGGAACGGCGCGGGAGGGAAGAAGGUUUUCGGAUCGUAAAGAUCUGUUGUAAGAGAAGAACGAGUGGGAGAGUGGAAAGUGCACACUGUGACGGUAUCUUACCAGAAAGGGACGGCUAACUACGUG